GAUGAACGCUGGCGGCGUGCCUAAUACAUGCAAGUCGAGCGAACAGACGAGGAGCUUGCUCCUCUGACGUUAGCGGCGGACGGGUGAGUAACACGUGGAUAACCUACCUAUAAGACUGGGAUAACUUCGGGAAACCGGAGCUAAUACCGGAUAAUAUAUUGAACCGCAUGGUUCAAUAGUGAAAGACGGUUUUGCUGUCACUUAUAGAUGGAUCCGCGCCGCAUUAGCUAGUUGGUAAGGUAACGGCUUACCUAGGCAACGAUGCGUAGCCGACCUGAGAGGGUGAUCGGCCACACUGGAACUGAGACACGGUCCAGACUCCUACGGGAGGCAGCAGUAGGGAAUCUUCCGCAAUGGGCGAAAGCUUGACGGAGCAACGCCGCGUGAGUGAUGAAGGUCUUCGGAUCGUAAAACUCUGUUAUUAGGGAAGAACAAAUGUGUAAGUAACUAUGCACGUCUUGACGGUACCUAAUCAGAAAGCCACGGCUAACUACGUG
rnacentral:rRNA from 1 species